UCCCUAGUGGUCCAGUGAUUAGGACUCAGCACUUUCACUGCCAAGGCCCUGGGUUCAAUCCCUGGUCAGGGAA
rfam:Ovis aries breed Texel chromosome 3, whole genome shotgun sequence.